UGUAACUGGGCAAGUCCUAUACAACCAGCUCCUGUUUAAUCCCCCAGGGUGGUAACACAGCAAGGGUAUGCGGUUGUAGCGGUGUGAUAUAGUUAGCUUGCCCUUUU
rfam:Flavobacteriaceae bacterium TMED147 1859, whole genome shotgun sequence.